rnacentral:rRNA from 1 species
GAGGAAGGUGGGUAUGUUAAUAGCAUACUCAUUUGACGUUAGCUGCAGAAGAAGCACCGGCUAACUCCGUGCCAGCAGCCGCGGUAAUACGGAGGGUGCGAGCGUUAAUCGGAAUUACUGGGCGUAAAGCGCAUGCAGGUGGUUUGUUAAGUCAGAUGUGAAAGCCCGGGGCUCAACCUCGGAAUUGCAUUUGAAACUGGCAAACUAGAGUACUGUAGAGGGGGUAGAAUUUCAGGUGUAGCGGUGAAAUGCGUAGAGAUCUGAAGGAAUACCGGUGGCGAAGGCGGCCCCCUGGACAGAUACUGACACUCAGAUGCGAAAGCGUGGGGAGCAAACAGGAUUAGAUACCCUGGUAG